rnacentral:rRNA from 1 species
UUCCGGUUGAUCCCGCCGGACCCGACUGCUAUCAGAGUGGGACUAAGCCAUGCGAGUCAACGUAGAAAUACGUGGCAAACGGCUCAGUAACACGUAGUCAACAUGCCCAGGGGACGUGGAUAACCUCGGGAAACUGAGGAUAAACCGCGAUAGGCCAUGAUUUCUGGAAUGGUUCAUGGCCGAAAUCUAUAUGGCCCCUGGAUUGGACUGCGGCCGAUCAGGCUGUUGGUGAGGUAAUGGCCCACCAAACCUAAAACCGGUACGGGCUCUGAGAGGAGAAGCCCGGAGAUGGGCACUGAGACAAGGGCCCAGGCCCUAUGGGGCGCAGCAGGCGCGAAAACUCUGCAAUAGGCGAAAGCUUGACAGGGUUACUCUGAGUGAUUCCCGCUAAGGGAAUCUUUUGGCAUCUCUAAAAAUGGUGCAGAAUAAGGGGUGGGCAAGUCUGGUGUCAGCCGCCGCGGUAAUACCAGCACCCCGAGUGGUCGGGACGAUUAUUGGGCCUAAAGCAUCCGUAGCCGGUCUUGCAAGUCCUCCGUUAAAUCCAGCUGCUUAACAGAUGGGCUGCGGAGGAUACUACAAGGCUAGGAGGCGGGAGAGGCAAGCGGUACUCAGUGGGUAGGGGUAAAAUCCUCUGAUCCAUUGAAGACCACCAGUGGCGAAGGCGGCUUGCCAGAACGCGCUCGACGGUGAGGGAUGAAAGCUGGGGGAGCAAACCGGAUUAGAUACCCGGGUAGUCCCAGCUGUAAACGAUGCAGACUCGGUGAUGAAUAGGCUUCGCGCCUAUUCAGUGCCGCAGGGAAGCCGUUAAGUCUGCCGCCUGGGGAGUACGGUCGCAAGACUGAAACUUAAAGGAAUUGGCGGGGGAGCACCACAAGGGGUGAAGCCUGCGGUUCAAUUGGAGUCAACGCCGGA